rnacentral:rRNA from 1 species
GACGAACGCUGGCGGCGUGCUUAACACAUGCAAGUCGAACGGUGAAGCGCCUUCCUUUUUGGUGGGUGUGGAUGAGUGGCGAACGGGUGAGUAACACGUGAGUAACCUGCCCCCUUCUUCUGGAUAACCGCAUGAAAGUGUUGCUAAUACGGGAUAUUCUGGGUCUGUCGCAUGAUGGGUCUGGGAAAGAUAUUGUUUCGGUGGGGGAUGGGCUCGCGGCCUAUCAGCUUGUUGGUGGGGUGAUGGCCUACCAAGGCGGUGACGGGUAGCCGGCCUGAGAGGGUGGACGGUCACACUGGGACUGAGACACGGCCCAGACUCCUACGGGAGGCAGCAGUGGGGAAUAUUGCACAAUGGGCGCAAGCCUGAUGCAGCGACGCCGCGUGAGGGAUGGAGGCCUUCGGGUUGUGAACCUCUUUCGCCAGUGAAGCAGGCCUGCCUCGUUUGUGGGUGGGUUGACGGUAACUGGAUAAGAAGCGCCGGCUAACUACGUG